GACGAACGCUGGCGGCGUGCUUAACACAUGCAAGUCGAACGGUAAGGCCCUUCGGGGUACACGAGUGGCGAACGGGUGAGUAACACGUGGGUGAUCUGCCCUGCACUUCGGGAUAAGCCUGGGAAACUGGGUCUAAUACCGGAUAGGACCACUGCCUGCAUGGGUGGUGGUGGAAAGCUUUUGCGGUGUGGGAUGGGCCCGCGGCCUAUCAGCUUGUUGGUGGGGUGAUGGCCUACCAAGGCGACGACGGGUAGCCGGCCUGAGAGGGUGACCGGCCACACUGGGACUGAGAUACUGCCCAGACUCCCACGGGAGGCAGCAGUGGGGAAUAUUGCACAAUGGGCGCAAGCCUGAUGCAGCGACGCCGCGUGAGGGAUGACGGCCUUCGGGUUGUAAACCUCUUUCAGCACCGACGAAGCGCAAGUGACGGUAGGUGCAGAAGAAGGACCGGCCAACUACGUGCCAGCCGCCGCGGUAA
rnacentral:rRNA from 1 species